rnacentral:rRNA from 1 species
UACGGGGGGGGCAAGCGUUGUUCGGAAUUACUGGGCGUAAAGGGCUCGUAGGCGGCCAACUAAGUCAGACGUGAAAUCCCUCGGCUUAACCGGGGAACUGCGUCUGAUACUGGAUGGCUUGAGGUUGGGAGAGGGAUGCGGAAUUCCUGGUGUAGCGGUGAAAUGCGCAGAUAUCAGGAGGAACACCGGUGGCGAAGGCGGGUCUCUGGGCCACUACUGACGCUGAGAAGCGAAAGCAUGGGGAGCGAACAGG